GAUGAAAAACGUAGCGAAAUGCGAUAACUAAUGUGAAUUGCAGAAUUCCGUGAAUCAUCGAGUCUUUGAACGCACAUUGCGCCCCCUGGUAUUCCGGGGGGCAUGCCUGUCCGAGCGUCAUUGCUGCCCAUCAAGCACGGCUUGUGUGUUGGGUCCUCGUCCCCCCCGGGGGACGUGCCCGAAAGGCAGCGGCGGCACCGCGUCCGGUCCUCGAGCGUAUGGGGCUUUGUCACCCGCUCUGCAGGCCCGGCCGGCGCUGGCCGACGCGAAAGCAACCAUUUUUUCUCCAGGUUGACCUCGGAUCAGGUAGGGAUACCCCGCUGAACUUAAGCAUAUCAAUAAGCGGAGGA
rnacentral:misc_RNA from 1 species